rnacentral:lncRNA from 1 species
GGGAAGACUUCAUCCCCUAAAGGGGAACUAAAGGGGACGUAAUCCCCCUUUAGUUCUUCUUCUUCCCCUUUAGGGGAACUAAAGGGGAACCCCUUCGUCUUCGUCCCCUUUAGUUCCCCUUUAGGGGAUGAACCAAAGGGGAACACUAAAGUGUUCUUCUUCUUCCCCUAAAGGGGAACUUUAGUUCCCCUUUAGGGGAUAAACUAAAGGGGUGAAAACGAAGGGGAAGAACUAAAGGGGAAGACGACAUCCCCGAAGGGGGAACAUCAUCCCCUAAAGGGUUGUCCCCUUUAGUUCUUCUCCUAAAGUUCCCCUUUAGGGGAAGAACUAAAGGGGUGUUCUUCUUCCCCUAAAGGGGACGGAGACGAAGGGGGUUCCCCUUCGGGGAUGAACCAAAGGCUUCCCCUAAAGGGGAACUUUAGUUUAUCCCCUAUAGGGGAACUAAAGUUCCCCUUUAGGGGAAGAAGAAGAACACUAAAGGGGAUGAACAAAAAGGGGACGAUUUCCCCCUUCGGGGAGCCAAAGGGGAUAACCAAAGGGUUCCCUUGUAAUUCCCUUUAGGGACAACCCCCGAAGGCUUCCCCCCCCCCCAAAGGUUGUCAUUCCCUUUAGGGACAACCCCGAAGGGUUCCCCUUUGUUCAUCCCCUAAAGGGUUUCCAAAAUUUGUUCCCCUUUAGGGGAAGACAACCCCGAAGGGUUUCCAAAGGGUUUCCAAAGGGUUUCCAAAGGGUUUCCAAAGGGUUCCAAAGGGUUUCCAAUGGGUUCCAAUGGGUUCCAAAGGGUUUCCAAAGGGUUCCAAAGGUUCCCCUUCGGUUACCCUUUGGGGAUGACGGAUGACAAGGGGAGCCAAAGGGUUGUCAUCCCCAAAGGGUUGUCCACUUUGUUCAUCGUCCCCUUUAGUUCAUCCCCUAAAGUUCCCCCUUUAGGGGAAGAACUAAAGGGGUUCCCCUUUAGGGGAAGAACCAAAGUCUUCGUCUUCUUUAGUUCCCCUAAAGGGGAUGAACCAAAGUCUCUUCUUCUUCCCCUUUAGGGGACUCCGUCUUCUUUAGUUCCCCUAAAGGGGAUGAAGAAGUGCUCCCCUUCUUCCCCUAAAGGGGAACUUUGGUGUGUUCUUCCCCUUUAGGGGAACUAA